rnacentral:rRNA from 1 species
UACAGAGGGUGCAAGCGUUGUUCGGAAUUAUUGGGCGUAAAGGGCGCGUAGGCGGCGUGACAAGUCACUUGUGAAAUCUCUGGGCUUAACCCAGAACGGCCAAGUGAAACUGUUGUGCUAGAGUGCAGAAGGGGCAAUCGGAAUUCUCGGUGUAGCGGUGAAAUGCGGUAGAAUAUCGAGAGGAACACCAGAGGUGAAGACGGGUUGCUGGGCUGACACUGACGCUGGAGGCGACGGAAAGCCAGGGGAGCAAACGGG